GAUAAGUUGGGGCGGGGGGCUGCGGUGAUACGAGGGGGGCAAGGGUUGAGCGGAAGUACGGGGGGGAAAGCGGGGGUAGGUGGUGGGGUAAGUCGGAGGGGAGAGCGCUGGGCGUAACCGGGGAAUGGCAUUGGAAACUGGCGACCUAGAGUGCGGUAGAGGGUAGUGGAAGUCCCGGUGUAGCAGUGAAAUGCGUAGAGAUCGGGAGGAACAUCCGUGGCGAAGGCGACUACCUGGACCAGCACUGACACUGAGGCACGAAAGCGUGGGGAGCAAACAGGAUUAGAUACCCCAGUAGUC
rnacentral:rRNA from 1 species